rnacentral:rRNA from 1 species
GAUGAACGCUGGCGGCGUGCCUAAUACAUGCAAGUCGAGCGAACAGACGAGGAGCUUGCUCCUCUGACGUUAGCGGCGGACGGGUGAGUAACACGUGGAUAACCUACCUAUAAGACUGGGAUAACUUCGGGAAACCGGAGCUAAUCCCGGAUAAUAUAUUGAACCGCAUGUUUCAAUAGUGAAAGACGGUUUUGCUGUCACUUAUAGAUGGAUCCGCGCCGCAUUAGCUAGUUGGUAAGGUAACGGCUUACCAAGGCAACGAUGCGUAGCCGACCUGAGAGGGUGAUCGGCCACACUGGAACUGAGACACGGUCCAGACUCCUACGGGAGGCAGCAGUAGGGAAUCUUCCGCAAUGGGCGAAAGCCUGACGGAGCAACGCCGCGUGAGUGAUGAAGGUCUUCGGAUCGUAAAACUCUGUUAUUAGGGAAGAACAAAUGUGUAAGUAACUAUGCACGUCUUGACGGUACCUAAUCAGAAAGCCACGGCUAACUACGUG